rnacentral:lncRNA from 1 species
GCUGGUCCGGGCACUGUUGGGAAGGCAGGAGACAGAGGAUAGAAAGUGAAAACACAAUUGCAAUGCGGUGUCAUAAGGGUCAUGGCAGAGCUAAGCUCAGUGGCUCCAGAAACACAGAGGAGAAAGCUAUUAUCCCUGCCUUCCUAGGCGGAGGGCAACCAGGAGAGGCCGGUGAUGCCAGAAUGAGAUGGAAUGUUGGCCAUGUCAGCGGCCCCGGUUGGACAGGGAGGGGGAGGAGGACGGUGAAGCAUUAGACCUUGGGAUCCCCACCAUGGAGAUGACCUGUGCGGGGCGCUGAGCCCUGAUGGGUCUCAAACCAUGAAGAGCGACGUGGUCAGGUUUGUAGUCUCAAGUUUGCCUUCGGGGUCGCCGUGUGAGAGCGGGCGGGGCUCAGCCAGGGGGAGAGAGAGAGAGAGAGAGAGAGAAGCAGGCUGGCCUGGCCUGUUGGAGACAACAUGCGCCAUGCUAAUGAGAGGAAAUAGAAAAUGUAAUUAACAUGUCUGCCACCAGAAAUGAGAGCUAAAUCUAUUACUCUCUUCCUCCCGUUUCUAUUAUACGUUAUUGUGUUUCAAUUAUGAUUUUGAAAGUAGUUCCUUGAGGAAAUAUGUCAAGGCUCUGCAGUGGCAAAGAAGGAAAUGGGACCAUGAAAGUUUAAUUGAUCGCAGUGACUGCAUUUAGAAAAGGAAGAAGAAAAUGAAAAAGAGAAGAAAGGCGGAAAAUUUGACAGUAUUGCUGACAGGUCACCUGCUGUGAGCGGGGGGGGUGGUGGUGAGCAAGAGAAACCCGAGGUGUCUGAAUAUUUAUGGGGUCCCUUUAUGGCGUGUGGGGAGGAGGGGCGAGCAAACACGAUUCCUGCCGGCCAAGUGCGCCUUUCCAUACUCCGGGGUCCUAGGAGUCUGCUCGGUUUUUCCCUGAAGACACUGUGAGCAAGGGUUUGAGGACAGUUUGAGGGGCAAGAGCAGUGUGGCUGUGAAUGCCGGGCUGGACAUUGGGUCGGGGUGCAGGAGUGAGCAGAGAAUGAGCGAGUUAGCCACGACCCUGCUCGCAAAAACCAUGCAGUCUAGCGGUGAGUGGCAGGGGCUGAGACUAUGGGCAAGGAGGUGCGGACGGAGAGCAUCUACUUGGGGUUGAAAGAGCAAGACUGCACUCAUGGGAAGGUGGGGAGGCAGGCCAGUGAAAUGAACAGGCUACCAGUCCCUGAUUGGCAUGCUAGCCAGUGACCCCUCUCGAGGGAGGGACAC